AGCAGCCGCGGUAAUUCCAGCUCCAAUAGCGUAUAUUAAAGUUGUUGCAGUUAAAAAGCUCGUAGUUGAAUUUCGGGACCAAUCUGCCGGUCGUGCCUCUGGUACGCACUGGUUUUAUUGGUUUCUCCCUUCUGACGAACCAUGAUGUCAUUAAUUUGGUGUCACGGGGAAUCAGGACUGUUACUUUGAAAAAAUUAGAGUGUUUAUAGCAGGCUCACGCUUGAAUACAUUAGCAUGGAAUAAUGAAAUAGGACGUUUGACCCUAUUUUGUUGGUUUCUAGGAUCGACGUAAUGAUUAAUAGGGAUAGUUGGGGGCAUUAGUAUUCAAUUGUCAGAGGUGAAAUUCUUGGAUUUAUUGAAGACUAACUACUGCGAAAGCAUUUGCCAAGGAUGUUUUCAUUAAUCAAGAACGAAAGUUAGGAGAUCGAAGACGAUCAGAUACCGUCGUAGUCUUAACCAUAAACUAUGCCGACUAGGGAUCGGAUGAUGUUAAUUUUUUAAUGACUCAUUCGGCGCCUUA
rnacentral:rRNA from 1 species